ACAUAGCUCUGGAACACACACGGACAGACAUACAUCGCCACACGCAGCCGUCAUCCUUUGAAGCACAAAAUGGAGGGGAAACGGGGCAACUGAGGAGCGAAAAGAAGGCACGUCACAAUCAACCGCAGUGGUUAGCGGCUUCUCAGAUGCUUCCAGACAGCUUUUUAUACAGAAAUAGCUCGACCCACAGGAGGAGAGCAUAAAGCCAGUGUUCCUUGGAGAAGCAGGCAGCCUGGUCCAAGUGCAUCUAUAAACCGUAACCACCCACACACAAAAGCAGUGCGUAAGACAAAAAGCACAAUUUAGAAGAUUCCCAUUAGCAAACAUAAAAGUGUGGGCUGAGCUGAUGACACGAGGAAAGGAGCGGGAGAAACAACGAAGCAACUGGAGAGGGGUAAGGGCUCAGCAAGAGCACAGAUCCAGGAGGACAGGGAUGGCAGGCACAUAGGCACAUCUUUCCACACAAUGGCUAGUGAAGUAAGGAGACUGCUGCCCGCUCUCACUAAGCAGAAGGGAACUCUACCCAAGCACCCCCGCUCCCUGGUUAACAUAAUACACCAAAGUUAAGGA